rnacentral:rRNA from 1 species
CUACGGGUGGCUGCAGUGAGGAAUAUUGCACAAUGGGGAAACCCUGAUGCAGCAACGCCGCGUGGAGGAUGACGCAUUUCGGUGUGUAAACUCCUUUUAUCAGAGAAGAAAAUGACGGUAUCUGAUGAAUAAGCUCCGGCUAACUCCGUGCCAGCAGCCGCGGUAAUACGGAGGAAGCAAGCGUUAUUCGGAAUCACUGGGCGUAAAGGACGCGUAGGCGGGUUUUUAAGUCAGGUGUGAAAUCCUAUGGCUCAACCAUAGAACUGCACUUGAAACUGGGGACCUAGAGUAUGGAAGGGGCAGGUGGAAUUAGUGGUGUAGGGGUAAAAUCCGUAGAUAUCACUAGGAAUACCGAAAGCGAAGGCGACCUGCUGGGACAUUACUGACGCUGAGGCGUGAAAGCGUGGGGAGCAAACAGGAUUAGAUACCCGAGUAGUC